rnacentral:rRNA from 1 species
UUAAGCUAUAAAGAGCAUAGGGUGGAUGCCUAGGCACUGAGAGCCGACGAAGGACGUGACAAGCUGCGAUAAGCUACGGGGAGGAGCAAAUAUCCAUUGAGCCGUAGAUUUCCGAAUGGGGGAACCCACUUAAGAAGACCUUAAGUAUUCAUACGCCAAUCCAUAACGUAUGAAAGGGAACCCGGGGAACUGAAACAUCUAAGUACCCGGAGGAAGAGAAAGAAACAUCGAUUUCCUAAGUAGCGGCGAGCGAAAGGGAAAGAGCCCAAACCGAGGAAUUUAUUCUUCGGGGUUAGGACUGCAUAAUUGAUUUGGAAUUGAUAGGAGAAUGGUCUGGGAAGUCCAGCGAAAGAGCGUGAAAGCCGCGUAUCCGAAAUUAAGACCAACAUGGCAGAAUCCAGAGUACCACGAGACACGAGAAACCUUGUGGGAAUGAGCGGAGACCACUCCGUAAGGCUAAAUACUACUCAGUGACCGAUAGCGCAUAGUACUGUGAAGGAAAGGUGAAAAGGACCCCGGGAGGGGAGUGAAAGAGAACCUGAAACCCUGUGUUUACAAGCUGUCGAAGCACGCAAGUGCGACGGCGUACUUUUUGUAGAACGGUCCGGCGAGUUAUGAUGAGUGGUAAGGUUAAGGACUUAAGGUCCGGAGCCGAAGCGAAAGCGAGUGUUAAAAGCACGGUUGAAUCGCUUAUCAUAGACCCGAAACCGGGUGAUCUAUCCAUGUCCAGGUUGAAGCUGCCGUAAGAGGUAGUGGAGGACCGAACACACAUCCGUUGAAAAGGGUGGUGAUGAGGUGUGGAUAGGGGAGAAAUUCCAAUCGAACCCGGAGAUAGCUGGUUCUCCUCGAAAUAGCUUUAGGGCUAGCCUCUGGUUAGUCUGCCGCAGGUAGAGCACUGAAUUUCCUAGGGGGCGUCAAAGCCUACCGAAGAAUAUCAAACUGCGAAUGGCGGACAGAUGAUGCCAGGGAGUCAGACUGCACGAGAUAAGUUGGGUGGUCAAAAGGGAAAGAGCCCAGACCUACAGCUAAGGUCCCAAAGUGUGUGUUAAGUGGAAAAGGAUGUGGGAUUUCGAAGACAACUAGGAUGUUGGCUCAGAAGCAGCCACACAUUAAAAGAGUGCGUAAUAGCUCACUAGUCGAGAGGUCCUGCGCCGAAAAUGUCCGGGGCUAAAACACAACACCGAAGCUUAGGAAUUCUAAUGAAUUGGUAGAGGAGCAUUGAAGACGGAACGAAGCCAUACCGUAAGGAAUGGUGGACUGUCUUGAAGAGAGAAUGCCGGAAUGAGUAGCGAGAUUGAAGUGAGAAUCUUCAAGGCCGAAUAUCUAAGGUUUCCAGGGUAAAGCUGAUCUGCCCUGGGUAAGUCGGGGCCUAAGGCAAGGUCGAAAGACGUAGUCGAUGGAUAACAGGUUGAAAUUCCUGUACUGCAUCAAAUCAGAAAUGUGGGGACACAUGAGGGAAGCAUGAGCCGGAAAAGGAAAGUCCGGUACAAGCGCAGCAGAGGACAGAUAGGCAAAUCCGUCUGUCAACUCGAGGGCGCGAUGUGGAGCGAACCAAAGUAGCGAAGCAUGUGGAGCUUGUGUCGAGAAAAGCCGCUAUAGUGUUUGAUGUACCCGUACCGUAAACCGACACAGGUGGAUGAGGAGAGAAUCCUAAGGCCGGCGGGAGAAGCAUUGUUAAGGAACUCGGCAAAAUGACCCCGUAACUUCGGGAGAAGGGGUGCUCCAGAGAUGGAGCCGCAGAGAACUGGCCCAAGCAACUGUUUAGCAAAAACACAGGUCUAUGCAAAACCGAAAGGUGAGGUAUAUGGGCUGACGCCUGCCCGGUGCUGGAAGGUUAAGAGGAGAGGUUAGAGCAAUCGAAGCCUUGAAUUUAAGCCCCAGUAAACGGCGGCCGUAACUAUAACGGUCCUAAGGUAGCGAAAUUCCUUGUCGGGUAAGUUC